GACGAACGCUGGCGGCGUGCUUAACACAUGCAAGUCGAACGGAAAGGCCCUGCUUUUGUGGGGUGCUCGAGUGGCGAACGGGUGAGUAACACGUGAGUAACCUGCCCUUGACUUUGGGAUAACUUCAGGAAACUGGGGCUAAUACCGGAUAGGAGCUCCUGCUGCAUGGUGGGGGUUGGAAAGUUUCGGCGGUUGGGGCUGGACUCGCGGCUUAUCAGCUUGUUGGUGGGGUAGGGGCUUACAAAGGCUUUGAAGGGUAGCCGGCCUGAGAGGGUGACCGGCGACAAUGGGACUGCGAGACGGACCAGAAUCCUACGGGCGGCAGUAGUGGGGAAUAUUGCACAAUGGGCGGAAGCCUGAUGCAGCAACGCCGCGUGCGGGAUGACGGCUUUCGGGUUGUAAACCGCUUUCGCCUGUGACGAAGCGUGAGUGACGGUAAUGGGUAAAGAAGCACCGGCUAACUACGUG
rnacentral:rRNA from 1 species